CGGUAAUACGUAGGUGGCAAGCGUUAUCCGGAUUUAUUGGGCGUAAAGCGAGCGCAGGCGGUUUUUUAAGUCUGAUGUGAAAGCCCUCGGCUUAACCGAGGAAGCGCAUCGGAAACUGGGAAACUUGAGUGCAGAAGAGGACAGUGGAACUCCAUGUGUAGCGGUGAAAUGCGUAGAUAUAUGGAAGAACACCAGUGGCGAAGGCGGCUGUCUGGUCUGUAACUGACGCUGAGGCUCGAAAGCAUGGGUAGCGAACAGGAUUAGAUACCCUGGUAGUCCAUGCCGUAAACGAUGAAUGCUAGGUGUUGGAGGGUUUCCGCCCUUCAGUGCCGCAGCUAACGCAUUAAGCAUUCCGCCUGGGGAGUACGACCGCAAGGUUGAAACUCAAAGGAAUUGACGGGGGCCCGCACAAGCGGUGGAGCAUGUGGUUUAAUUCGAAGCAACGCGAAGAACCUUACCAGGUCUUGACAUCUUUUGAUCACCUGAGAGAUCAGGUUUCCCCUUCGGGGGCAAAAUGACAGGUGGUGCAUGGUUGUCGUCAGCUCGUGUCGUGAGAUGUUGGGUUAAGUCCCGCAACGAGCGCAACCCUUAUGACUAGUUGCCAGCAUUUAGUUGGGCACUCUAGUAAGACUGCCGGUGACAAACCGGAGGAAGGUGGGGAUGACGUCAAAUCAUCAUGCCCCUUAUGACCUGGGCUACACACGUGCUACAAUGGAUGGUACAACGAGUUGCGAGACCGCGAGGUCAAGCUAAUCUCUUAAAGCCAUUCUCAGUUCGGACUGUAGGCUGCAACUCGCCUACACGAAGUCGGAAUCGCUAGUAAUCGCGGAUCAGCACGCCGCGGUGAAUACGUUCCCGGGCCUUGUACACACCGCCCGUCACACCAUGAGAGUUUGUAACACCCGAAGCCGGUGGCGUAACC
rnacentral:rRNA from 2 species